UGGCGUAUUAUCAUGUUGACUGAGUUAAAGAUAGGUGUGUCUUAUGUAUUAUUUUUCUCCGAGAAAGUCAUAAAGGGCUUCCAAGUCUGCAGUUGGAAAAGAUGGAGACAAAACAAACAGCAGAGAAGGCCAGAGUAUUGCCUGGACAAGGGAAGAUGACAAGGUUCUGUUGCAAGCGUGCCAGCAGCUGGGCACCGAAAAGGGACUGCAGCGAGCGUCACAGACAUUGGGCCGACCUCCCGAGCAGGUGGCCAGCCGCUUUCAAGAAUUGAUCCGCUUGUUUGAGGCAAGCAAGAGCGACGACGAAGCAGAUUCAUGACAGUGCUUGCAAACACAUCCAUUUGUGCACAUAAUUCCAUAGUCAUAUUUUCAUCGCUAUCAUCUCAAGCGUCACUGAAAAGUUUCCACAUAGGGACUCUUAUCAUUACACAUGGAUGGUUUCUCAGUGUACAGCCUACCUGUAUACUGUUCCAAGUUUCUCUAGUCAUUGUCUUUCUUGAUCUGAAAACUGCCCCAUCUUCGGCUCCACAUUAAAAGAUGCUCCUUUAUCCCAAUUCUAAUGUGCCUCAUGUUUUCUGGUGACUGGUCUUAAUAAUAGAUAGCAUGCACUAUGUGCAUUUAAGGAGCUGUUGGUGGCCAUUGUAGUAAAUGUGCUGUGCUUAUACUGUUCAUUCUUUUGCUUAUUUGUGCCUUACCUUUAAAGUCACUGUGUGUUUACAAACGAGUUCCUGUCUCACAGCAGCAAGAACGAUGCAUUUCUGUAACUUGUAUCGUGUCAUUUAGCCAGUUUCGUCACAGAAGGUCUUAGACAAUAUGUGUGCCACCUUUGUUCUUUUACAAAAUGAUCUGCAAGAUAGCAUUGUGUCUGCUGAUAAAAAGAUUCCAAUUUUUUUUUUUAGUGAAAAGCUUGCUCCUCUACAAAACGUUCUAUUAUUCCUGUAUAAGUUAUAAGAUUCACUUAGCCUAACUAUUACUUUUAAAAGACAUUGAUACAGAUGUACUGAAUGCUGUAACUUAAUUAUAUCUGCACUUUAAAAAAUCACGGAUUAAAAAUUUUGUGCUUACCACUGCUCUGUUCUUGCUCAAAUUGGAUGGAUCAUAUCAGUCAGUGUAACACCUGGCGCAGUUGCUUGGUUUUUAAGCAAAAAAUGCCAAGUUGCCUUCCUUGCAGAGAAGCUAACUGCUGCCAAGACAGCUAAAUAAACUUGUGUAGCUGCCCCUCAGCAGUUACAAAGAAGCCAUUCCAGAUGGAACCUUUCAAGUGUUGUAUUGAACAAUUUGGACUAUAUAACCUGAUAUUUCUGCAAAAUGUCAGCAUGAACAACUAAAUUUUUGUUUUUAAGUGAACUAUGUGUGUCCUUGUACUGACACAGUGCUGCAGCACGAACAGCAAGCUUCAGCUAAGCUUUCACAAAGAAGCACUACUUGUGGGUUGAAGGCCCACACAGUUGUCAUUGAAGGCGGUGCAGUGUGUUCUUGCUUUCUGAGUUGUGUUGCUUGUGCGAUCAAGAAGCGUGUUUACUAACUGCCACUCGACUUCAAAGUUGUCGUCACUAACUUAGAAUGGCACUUGUAGCUGUAAGGAUGUUCACUCGCAAUCUCAAUGGCCAGUGACGUGAAUUCAGGUUCAUUACAAAUAAUAUGCAACUGCUGAAGCGUUUAGUGUCCACAGAUGCCCAUUACUGACUAGCUUAUAGUGUGCACCACUUGUCCUUGAAGAACAAGCCAGCUAAACCAAGCUCCUAUCAGUGGGGCUCUAACUCCCUUUGUUCCCGCUUUUCGUUCAGCUGUCAUCGUGGCUACGAACCAGCCAGCUCAGUUGAUUACUAUUCUGUAAAUAUCAAUUCUACGUAAGCACUUCUUACAUUUGCUAUUUGGAAUGCAAGCAUUGCGAGUUUUGCAAAGCAGAUGUCACACUACAUGC